rnacentral:tRNA from 1 species
GGAGUUGUGGCUCAGUGGUAGAGCCACAAUUGCCUACUAUGUGUGAGGCACUGAGUUCGAUUCUCAGCACCUCAU